rnacentral:rRNA from 1 species
CGAAGUCUGAUGGAGCAUGCCGCGUGUGUGAUGAAGGCUUUCGGCUCGUAAGCUCUGUUGUUUGGGAAGAAAUGCUGUCGUAGGGAAUGAUCUUAGUUUGACGGUACCCUACCAGAAAGGGACGGCUAACUACGUGCCAGCAGCCGCGGUAAUACGUAUGUGCCGAGCGUUGUCCGGAUUUAUUGGGCGUAAAGCGAGCGCAGACGGUUGAUUAAGUCUGAUGUGAAAGCCCUCAGCUCAACUCCGGAAUGGCAUUGGAAACUGGUUAACUUGAGUGUUGUAGAGGUAAGUGGAACUCCAUGUGUAGCGGUGAAAUC